GCCGGUGUGGCGGAACGGUAGACGCGCCAGGUUUAGGUCCUGGUGUCCUCACGGGCGUGCAGGUUCAAGUCCUGUCACCGGCAC
rnacentral:tRNA from 1 species